AUUGAACGCUGGCGGCAGGCCUAACACAUGCAAGUCGAGCGGAUGAAGGGAGCUUGCUCCUGGAUUCAGCGGCGGACGGGUGAGUAAUGCCUAGGAAUCUGCCUGGUAGUGGGGGAUAACGUCCGGAAACGGGCGCUAAUACCGCAUACGUCCUGAGGGAGAAAGUGGGGGAUCUUCGGACCUCACGCUAUCAGAUGAGCCUAGGUCGGAUUAGCUAGUUGGUGGGGUAAAGGCCUACCAAGGCGACGAUCCGUAACUGGUCUGAGAGGAUGAUCAGUCACACUGGAACUGAGACACGGUCCAGACUCCUACGGGAGGCAGCAGCGGGGAAUAUUGGACAAUGGGCGAAAGCCUGAUCCAGCCAUGCCGCGUGUGUGAAGAAGGUCUUCGGAUUGUAAAGCACUUUAAGUUGGGAGGAAGGGCAGUAAGUUAAUACCUUGCUGUUUUGACGUUACCAACAGAAUAAGCACCGGCUAGCUUCGUG
rnacentral:rRNA from 1 species